rnacentral:sRNA from 1 species
GAUUUCUCAGAUCGUAUUGGAAAAACCAAGAGGACAGGAUAUGAAUCUGGAGAAUAUGAGAUGGUUUGUUGUGUGUCUGUGUGUUGAUGGGAAUGAUGUAGUGACCCUAUCUAGCAGACAUGUAGUAGGGAGAUCAAGGGAUACAGGCAGGAUUCUGUUCCUCCUGUGUUCCUGAGGAAGCAGCAGGAUGCAGCCAGGGAAACUCUGCCCUGCUGCUGUUUGUUCUGGAGAGCCUCCAGCCCUCUAGCUGUCCUCAGUUCUUUGGUACUAGGGUGUUGUGGAUUCUCAAUUGGAUAUGAUACCUUUAUGACUUAGGCCCAGGGUGUGGAUGAAUUCUUGAGGCUCCCUAUAUUGAGACAUAUAACAUUACCCUCUGUGCUUGCUCUCUAGCUUGGAGAGGGUCUGGGAGUGAAGGAGACACCCCAGCAAAAGUACCAGCGCCUGCUGCAUGAGGUCCAAGAGCUAACCACUGAAGUUGAAAAAAUCAAGACGACAGUGAAGGAGUCAGCCACAGAGGAGAAGCUGACCCCUGUGGUGCUAGCUAAACAGCUGGCAGCCCU